AUGAUUAUACCUUUCAUUCAAGAACCCUGAAACCAUCCAGAGUACAUCAGUGAUUUUCAAAACAAUUUCCAUGGCAGCACAACACCUUUCAGGCAGGACCUAGGGGAGGUCUCAGACCCAGGAAUACAAAAUUAUGUGACAAAGCAUGGUCAGAUCUCUCCCGAAGCCUCCUCCCAGCUCCAGGCCUGUGAUUAGACUAGAAC
rnacentral:lncRNA from 1 species